AAGUCGUAACAAGGUUUCCGUAGGUGAACCUGCGGAAGGAUCAUUAACACGUUUCCAACGUAUCAACCAACCGGUUCAAUGUUCUAACCCCUCCCUAUCUGGGAAGCUGCCAUUCGGCCUUUCAAUGGUGGGUGAUUUAGUCUCGGCUAAUCACGAAAGAAUGAAUGAAUGGAGUGCGACUCAAGGCUUUCCUUAUAGGCUUUAUUUUUUCAUCUUAUUUCCCUCCAUCAUUGGGGAUAGGAUACCAAAUUUUUACCCUUCUAACCCUUUAAUUCAUACCUGUCUAAAUGUUUCUGAACGAAGAGAUUUGUUGGAAUUGUAUAUUAACCUAUGUACAACUCUUAGCAAUGGAUAUCUUGGUUCUC
rnacentral:misc_RNA from 1 species